ensembl:lncRNA
UCACAGGGCUGUCCCUUCCUGGGGGCACUUUGUAUUUUGUUUCAAUAAAAUUGACUCUGGGGACUUGAGAAUCUUCAAAAAGCCAAUUUAAGGUAUUGCUCAGAGGGUCCAGGUGGUUGCAUGAGGUCAUACGCAGGCCUCUGGAAACAACCAAGGCAUGUACAUAAGUGGGACAAUCACAUCCCGACGUCCUUUUUGAAUAGACACAGGUUGGUGGGUGUGGAACACUGAGAAGUGUCAGCUGGACCCUGCCCAGGAAGCCGGGGGUAAAUGAGAGUGUCUGUCCUGGGUGCUCUAGGGAGGCACACGUGUGAGUAGUUAGCAGUCAGGAUGGUCGGCAGCAGCUGAAUGUUAGGCACUGAGUUACCACUCCUAACCUGCGGAAGAGGAGCCCAGAGUGAAGGCCUCGUUCCUUGGAGGACCCAAGAGCUCUGGACUGUGAGAGUUACGGGCACUCUGAAUCCUAGCCCUGCCUCUCUACUUGUAAUCUCUCUGAACCAGAGUUUCCUCUCUGUAAAGGGGGAGGGUAUUGAUAGUGCUGUGGGAACCCCCAUGUUUUAUCUCCUUUCCCUUUUGAGAAGGCCUGGGGUGUGAGGAACCGGACAUUCAAAACUCUUGGCACUGGGUCUCCCAGCAACAACUUUUGCCUGAGGAAACAACACAGGCCAUGGUACCUGGGGUGUCUCAGUGGUACCUGCAUUUUUCUGAGCAGUUGAUGCGGCUCUUUUCGGUUGUGUUUCAGAUCUGAGUGUUCUAUCCAGCUCUACUGUUACCAUCCUUGUACAAGCCUCUGUCAUCCCUCACCCAGACAACUCCGGUCACCUCCAAUUGCCUCCUGCACUCAGAACAUCAGCAUUGUGUCUGUAGGUUUUGGGUCCCAACCACUAAACUGAUGAUGGGAGAUGACCCUAAAACCUCAUGCAAAUCAAGGAUCAUCAGGCUAUGUGCAACACUCUUCAUGGGCUCCACAUGGUCUGAGCACAUAGACAUGAAAACCCUCCACCCUAUGCUGACUAUGGCAGGUGGAAUAGGAGCAGGAUAACUGCAAUGAGGACUCCCAUUCAGAGAAAAGAAGCAUGGGAACACAUCCGGCACUGGUUCAUGACAACGAUCAGAUGCUGAUGGGCUGGAGGAAGGAGCCCCCCUACCCCGGCAGUGGAGCUUUGUCCAUCGUCCAUGUCUCUGGGCUUUUCCUUCUGGGAGGCUCUUAUCCCCCAUGGCUACCCCUGAAACAGGCAUUGGUGAGAGGGGCCCCUGGGAGCUUCAGAGUGUUCACCUCUACUUCCUGCUGCUGCAGAUUGUGGAUCCCAGCGAUUGUAUUAGGAAGUAACGGUCAUAGUCAAUACUUUUUAUUGUUUGUUCAGUGCUUUCAAAAAAAAAAAAAACUUAGCAGGCUUUCAAUCUAUCUGCUUCUGAUCAGUUUCUUAUAUAAAAUCCACAACUACAGACCUGCAGCCAUCAUUCUAACACUGCAGGGGAACCAGGAGGGACUUGAGAAAGUUAAAUUCAAACUUGCCCUGUGCCUAACCACACUGCAGUUUACUUUGAUGUGAAGACCUUUAGAGUGAUAUGUAAGGGCAUCUCCUCCCAGAGCGCCCCUCUCCCUUUGCAGUCUGGGACUUCAACUGGAAGAUAGACAAUGAAGAUACACACCUGACUUGCUCCCACACUUGCGUCCUUUCUCACCUCCUCCCCGCCAUCCUCCAGACCUGAGAUCAGGGCUCUCCUGUCUGUUCUCCUCUUUAGAUAAAGCUCUAAGGUCAGUUCUGUCAGGCUGGCUUCUUGAUAUAUUACAGAGAAAGUUAAAGACAUCCAGAAUAUCCUUUUUCUUAAUAAAGACUGUCUUUCAAGAC